GGGUGGCUGUAUCCAAAGGUGAAAACUGAGGGCUGUGCUACAGUUUUUCACCACAAAGACUGCUUCUGUUUGGGGCAAGAGCACAGUGUGAACUGGCAAUAUACAGAUACUGCAAUAACAGCAAUGGUGAUUAAAAAUCGGGAGCUGCGUCAGCUUAAAAAAAGGCAAAGGGAAGCCAUCAGAAGAGCUGAACCUAUUUAUGUAUCUGCUUUUACAGUGUGAAGCAUGACUCCCUGUAUUAGAUAUGCCUGCAGACCUACUAGAGUGCUCCCUUUGAGAUACACCCCGGAGGAAGAAACUCAUGGUACAGACAAGUAAUGCCUUCUGUGAAAGCAAGGAAGUUGGUGAGCUGGGAGCUCUCAAAUACUGUGAGCCAGAUGUUUGUUUGGGAAGGGAAUUCGUUUUGUUUACCAGUGGAUAUAGCUGAGGUAUCCUUAAGACUGUCCAUCUGCUCAAACAGCAAAUUUGAGUAGAAGAAAGAAGGAAAAAGACAAAGAAGAAAAAAUGCUCUGAUCUACUUAAGACUUGAUGUUGAAAAGAAGACAUGUAAAAGGAAACAUGCUUAGUCUGCAGUUGAAAAAACAGAUGAGGUGCUACAAACUAAUACAGACUUUAGCAAAGGCAUUGCCUAAUGUGCAUUGUGUUGCGUAAAUGAUGCUUUCUUAGACUUCAGCCAUCCCCAUACAGAUACAGCAAAGCAUGCUGAGGCAUCCAUUUUAUUCAUCCAAGUGAAAAAUAAAGAAAAUUACUAGGACUGUUCAGGUGUUGACUCUUGGUUUGUGAAUUGCAAUUCAGAAUCUGGUGUUUUAAGCGUUAUUUAAAAAGUACUUUUCUACUGCACAAUAAAAUUUUAAUUAUUUUA